AUAACUCAAUAUUAUUGUUAUGGCUCAAACAGGUCUUACGGCUGUACCUCCCCGCAUGGGCCCCGCUGGUAACUGGUCGGGUUGUCAUUAUAUUACCGAUCAGGCUAACGCAGUCGUUGAAUGGGUUGAUACAGUUAACUGAGUACGAGGACAGAUUGACAUUAAAUUCAACUCAAUUCACAUCUGUCCUAUGAUAGCGUAAAUGCUUGAGGGCAGGGUUUUUCCUUGCCAGCAAACUUGGCUGUG